rnacentral:rRNA from 1 species
UGCCAACCGCCGCGGUAAUACGAAGGGUGCUAGCGUUGUUCGGAAUUACUGGGCGUAAAGAGCAUGUAGGCGGAUGAAUUAGUCAGAGGUGAAAGCCCCGAGCUCAACUUGGGAACUGCCUUUGAUACUGUUUAUCUAGAGUCCGAGAGAGGUUAGUGGAAUUCCCAGUGUAGAGGUGAAAUUCGUAGAUAUUGGGAAGAACACCAGUGGCGAAGGCGGCUAACUGGCUCGGGAAUGACGCUGAGGCGCGAACGCGUGGGUAGCAAACAGGAUUAUAUA